AUGAGCUCCACCACAUAAACUUAGUUAUGACAAAAUUGAAGUUGAGGCUAACUUGAAAGGUUUCUAAGGGUGUUUUGAAGCCAGAUUGAAUUCAUAUUUCUAGUUUUAACCUAUGAAGUCCACUUCUGAUGAUUGUACUUUUUAUCAUCAGACCAAAACACCAAUCGGUUUUUGGUGUAGGCGAGGAUUGAACUCUAAAUCUCUUAUUCAACUAUCAGAGACUUUACCAGUUGAACUAAUUAAAUAUACAUUGAUCAUCUAUAGAGAGAUGGAGCUUCAACAUUAUAGACAUGAGCAUCCAUUGGAUUUCAAUAAAGCCAAGGGAAUAGGAUUGCUUUGUUCGAUGGUUUGAGGAGGGGGGAUUUGUACCUCGGAUGUCUCUGUUGGAAACACCAAAAAAUGCCAGUUGAGUUACAAGACUCUAAGAUUUCUUUGUUCUGGGUGCUUAGAACUAGUUUUGGAUCCUAGGUCCAAGUGUGUAGAAUGCAAAGGAUGCUACCAUCAUAAAUCAUGUGCGGAACUACCUUCGAAUUGCAAUAUCCAUUGCACAUAAAACAUCCUCUUAUUCUCUUCGAAAAAGUGCAUUUUACGAGGACAAAGGAUAUAGCAAAUGCAAAAUACGCAAAAAAAAAAAAAAAAUUCUAGAUGUACUUAUUGUUGCUCUUGUUACGACUUUGACCUUCAAAAUAAAUGUACUUCUUUACCAUCCACCAUGGAAGCUGAAGUUCACAACCACCCAUUGAUCAUCAUUUGGAAGUGGGUCACGUUCACUUGCGACCUUUGUGGCAAAGAAGGCAAUGGUGUGUAGAAUGCAAAGGAUGUAGCAUCAUAAAUCAUGUGUGGAACUACCUUUGAAUUACAAUAUCCCUUGCGCACAAGACAUCCUCUUAUUCUCUUUGAAAAAUCGAUUUUAUGAGGACAAAGGUUAUAGCAAAUGAAAAAUAUGCAAGAAAAAUUGUUUCGGAUACA